UGGAUGAGUUCGACCUGGAGAAAUACUCCCGUUCAGAGAAGGCAUUUUUGAAGCUGCUGCCAGUGGUCAAAGCAUCCAAGAAAGUGCUGCUGAGAGAUUGUAAACUCUCAAAAGAAGCUUUGAAGCUUUGUCUGAAAUUCUCAGCUCCCCAUCCAAUCAUCUGAGAGAGCUGGACCUGAGCUCGAACUACCUGCAGGAUUCAGGAUUGGAUUUGCUGUGUGUUGGACUAAAGAGUCCUGACUGUAAACUUGAAACUCUCAGAUUGGAGAGCUGUGGUUUGUCAGAGAUCAGCUGUGAUUAU